AGAAGGCCGGUAUUCUACUUCAAGGUUCCCUUCUUCUGGAAAUAUACCAUCACCCAGUGCCAUGCGUAGUGCACCUAGUAAAGAUGGUAUCCCCGAAUCAUAUAAUCUGGAAAGCCAAAGAUUUCAGCUCCAAAAUAGGUUUGAAUAUGAUGUGGAGCCACUGGCAGAUGAACAUGCCGACUCGAGGAGGAAUUUGAGGCAAUGUUUCAACAGCGUACCAAAGAACACACUCCAAGAUGUUGAUAGCGUACAAGUUUGCAAUGCCAGUGGGUUUGACGGGGCUGCAACUGCUAGUUUUACAGCACAGUAAACCUGAGAAACAGAUAAUCUGCUUAGUUGGAAUAGAGAGUUUCAAUGGCCAAUUUCAGCUGCUGAGAGAACAAAUACUACUGGGCGUCAAAACCUCAAGAUGACAUGAAAAAAGAAUCUGGCUGUCAACCAAGUCCUGCAAUAGUGGUGCAUGAAUGCGACAUUUCUGAUUCAAUGCAGGAGAGUAGGGCUAUUUAUUUUAUGCAGAUUCUUUUAGAGGCAGCAUCUAGUUUCAAUUGCCAUACCAGAACAAGUCGUCUCUUAUUUCAAAAUUUGUAAAUAAAAGUUUCCACCAAUCUUUCCCAGGCUUCUUCUUGUUCUAUAUGGUAAUUAUGCUUCCAUUUAUUGGGAUAUAGUGUCCUAUAAAUGCUAGAAAUAUGAUAUUUGAACGAUCUUUUUCUCUCCAUCCUUGAUCUGAAAAUAUUUCAAAUGUGACAAGAUGAAACUUUUCAGACACUAAGCAAGUAGCAUCCGACUUAUAGGUGGGGUGCUGGCAAAUUAAAGCAUGCAACAUCUGAUCGACAUGGAGGCCUGUGUUGAUCUGCUGACAAAGCAAAGGUGACUUGUCAAGGGCCAAGGCUACAAUGAUUGUUUUCCAUGUCCUGCUACUCACCCAGCCUGCCGAUGUCCGGCCCUAGUUUCAACGCAUGAUAAAGCCUUUUUUUUAAUAUAUUUAUUAUAAACAAAUUUACAGUGGACACUGGACAGUAACUGCUUAAGCCCAAAACCAACGAAGCAACAGACAACGGAUGUCCACAAGAGAAGGCCCAAGAUGGGACGAGAUGUUCCGCACAAAAAGUUCUCUCUUCGCAAACUAGACCCAACACCUAUUCCUGUGACAUUAUAUUAAAGGAAAAAAAAUAAGGGUACUGGAAUGAUAAUUACUUAUAAAUUUUAA